CUCUGUGCCAGCCCCAUUUUGGCAAACUACAAAUGGGUUACACUGAUGGCUUUCACAUUCUGUCUGCACUUCUCCCUGCUGAGGAGAAAGAAAGAGCGAGAGAAGCCCCAUCAAAGGCUCACAAUCAGCAGUCCUGAAAGCCACUUCAGAGCCAUCCAGGAGGGGAUGAAUAAAAUAAUCCCUCUUCAGAUCUCAGUCCUGCCACAGAGAGCUAUGAAAUCAUAGAAGUCAGAAAUAGGGAAGAUUUAUUCGAUCAUUUUGUCCAUCUCCAGGGGACAGUAUAGGACUGUUCCUCCACAGUGUAUUUUCCAGUGCUUUGUCCAAUCUAGUUUGUCACACUGACAAAUCAGAAGCAAUGUGCUAGAGAAAUCCAUGCUUGGAACAUAAAGAGUCUGGCAGGAUGUGUUGAAAAUUGACGACUGAGUUUUCACUGAGAGAGAUUAAGUCAACUCCACGAGCUGGCUGGUGUUGUCAGUUCAACAUAAUGCAAGAGAAAUUCCAUUCAGCAAGCUCCACAGCAGGGAAACAAUCGACAAGUAUUACCUGGUGGAUGUUCAUACUCGGCAAGCAACACCACUGUCACCUACACAGGUGUGGAUCCUGGCUUUUCCACAUGUGCAGGAGGCACAUUUCAUCUCCCACAUGUGCAAGUACUGUGUGGCCUUAGUGCUUCACUAACCCAUGUGAAUGACUCCUCCACCCCAUCUUAAACCCUCGUGAUCAACAGCAGCUUCUUUAAGGCCAGCUGAUCAUCUCAGGGAUCCCUUAUCCUGAGGAAGCAGCAGGAAGCAGGAAAAUUGACUCAGAAGAAAAGGCUCCUCUGGAAGGAGUGCUAAGACGCAGCUGGGAUAUCCUGUUCAUGCUGAGAUUUCAAAAAUGGGAUCAGAGAUUGUAUCAUGGACAAUGAUUUCCUGCUCUCCUGAAAGGUCCUACUCUAGAGAAAAGCGAUUUAUCUCCUGCAGAGCCUCCUGAUGACAGCACUGAUUCACCCUAAUCCCCAGAGAGUAUUUCAUGAAUAGACAGAUAUAGUACAGCAUAUUCCCACAACUAAGGAGUUCCCCCACCUCUACUCUGAUUGCUAAUGUACCCCAACACCCUACCACUUGCUUCCCAGCAGUCACCCUGUGGGAAGAGUCCUCACAAGGGGUGAUCCCCAUAUUAGUCCAAGAAACUGCUGUGUAAAAGUGAGGGUGACAUAACAGAGCCCUAGUUAAACAAGAAUAAUGUGUACAAGUAUUGAGAUUGGCCCCUUGGAGAGAUGGAGCUUUGACACUUCCAUUUAAAAAUCAGAGAAAGCAACCCUGACAGCACCUUGGAAAUGAGAUCUCAGCCUUCCUAAAUGAUCACUCUGGCCCCAGGAAAGUGUUUCUCUGAGUUAGAAAAAGUAUCUCUAAGGACUGAGGCUUGAGUUUAAGUUACUAAAUAUUUGAACCCAAGGAAGCCAUUUAUCACGGGGACUAGAGCAAAGGGCAAUAUGGGAAGAUCAACUUUUUGGAUGGAAGGCUGAUAUCCUCUGUGGGGAUAUUAUAGCAGGGCUUGUGUUGUGGAAGGGCUUCGGUGUGGUGGCAAUGCGAGUGGAUCAACCAACCCGUGGCUCAAACCAGGAAAUGACCUCAUGCUUUUGCAAGAAGAUCUUCAAAUAUUUAGGCUGAGAUGACCUCAGAGGGAAUUGAUCUCCAUUUCUUAUCAGAGACCAGAGGUCUUCAAAGCUAGGUCCUGUAGGGAGGGAAUGUUUUCCUGCCAUGGCCAGGGAUCCCAGAAAAUAGACGCUCUGUAGGUUCCGGUGAUGGAGGAGGGGUCGGCAAAGAACCUAUAAUUUCUCCUCAUCUCCCAAAAUAGAUCUGGGAGAUGUUGCUCAAAAAAUGUGGUUCACAGUUCAACGGCAGUAAUUUCAGGAUGAAAUGGAGUUGCAGGUUGUAAUACGUCUAGCUUUUGGCGCUCAGAUGAACAGACCAGCAAAGGCUUCCUCUAUACACUCACCUCUCCGCAGGUACGUGAGACUCCCACUAAGCCUGACAGAUGUAGAUGCCUCCUGGGACAAAAAAGCUUACCAAGCCAUUUAUUUCUGGUAUAUGGCCUUCGAUUGUACCAGGCAUUUGGGCCCAAUUUCUUUAUCCCACAAAGAGGGUGGGAAAUGCUUUUACAAGGAUGAAAGUAUUCCCUGUAUUCCUGAGCACACUCUGCAACAACCAAAGCAGAGAUCCCACCACCACCACCCAGAACCUGCAGAAUCUAUCCUAGUUAUACACAAAUCACAGCACAGGCUAGGGCACCAGUCCCCUCCUAAACUGGCAGGUCUUUUCCAGUCCAAGCCAUUUCUCCACCCCAAAAGGAAAAGCAGCAAGACAAAAGGAAAAGCAGCAAGACAAAAGGAACUAGUACUGAGACUAAGCACAGAGGGGAUGGCAGCUUUUUCUCCUGUUCAGAGAAGGGCUCUGUUAAGAAUUAGCUAUGUCUACAUAAAAUGCUCGCUCUUUGUUGGCCCUAAAACGAUAUCCUUUGCCUUAAUUUAGCAGAACUCAAUGAAAGGGAGACCCAACUAAGGGGAGUCUCGCAUGCUGGGGCAGAAGAUACUGGGCAUGUUUAGUCAAUGCCAUGUAGCUCUCUUUGCUAGAAUGGAUGCUCUCAAUAAAACUUCUCAACCUUAGUCUUGAGUAACUCCAUUUAAGUUGCUGGGCAUAGACUGAUGUGAGAGAAGAAUGAAGCCCUGCAUGUCAGGGUAUGUCUACAUAGCAAAAGCUGGCCACUGGCAGGCCUAUCCAAGCUAGUUUGAAUCCAGCUAGCAGGGGUCACAAUAGCAGUGAAGACGGCAUAGUGUGGGCUUCAGAGCAGGCUAGCAAGCAGAGUACAUAGCCAGGGUCCAUGCCGAGUUUGUACCACUCACACUGCACUGUCUUCAGUAGUAUUGUUACGCACACUAGCUGCAUUCAAGCUAACUCAGGUAGGCUAGCCCACGUCCAGGUUUUGCUGUGCAGACAUACCGUUAGAAGGCUCCAACUACACUAGCCCCAAGAGAGGUCUCAUUGUAGAGUCUCUCUCCAAGUCACUGACUUUUCAGCCCUUUGCAAAGGGCAGUGCAAUCUGCUUAGCUCAAUCAGGAGAGCAAAGCAAGCCAAGGUCACUGGAAAGCAAACGGUGCUUCUGUAACUCAGCCAAUCACCAGAUGGGUUCAGGCCUUCUCACCCCACCAAAUCAGGGUUUUCACUAUGCCCUCCCCGCACUGCAAUAAUCUUCAGCCUUAUCUGAGCGAGGGACUGUGUGUAGGGACAGGAACGACAGCUCUACUGUUUUCACACACAUUUCCCUAUCCCAAAGCCUUCCAGAAGAGGAUGUUUUAUGCUGUGCUACCUGAGCAGCGCUCACGUUAGAGAGGGGAAAAGAACAUGUCAAGGGGAA